rnacentral:rRNA from 1 species
AGCGAACGCUGGCGGCAUGCUUAACACAUGCAAGUCGCACGGAGGGGGCAACCCCUCAGUGGCGGACGGGUGAGUAAUGCAUCGGAACGUGCCAUUGAGUGGGGGAUAACGUAGCGAAAGUUGCGCUAAUACCGCAUAUUCUGUGAGCAGGAAAGCAGGGGACCGCAAGGCCUUGCGCUCUUUGAGCGGCCGAUGUCAGAUUAGCUAGUUGGUGAGGUAAAGGCUUACCAAGGCGACGAUCUGUAGCGGGUCUGAGAGGAUGAUCCGCCACACUGGAACUGAGACACGGUCCAGACUCCUACGGGAGGCAGCAGUGGGGAAUUUUUGGACAAUGGGGGCAACCUGAUCCAGCCAUGCCGCGUGAGUGAAGAAGGCCUUCGGUG